UACGUAGGGGGCAAGCGUUGUCCGGAAUUAUUGGGCGUAAAGAGCGUGUAGGCGGCCAGAUAAGUCCGCUGUGAAAUCUCGAGGCUCAACUUCGAGCUGUCGGUGGAAACUAUCUGGCUAGAGUCCGGAAGAGGAGAAUGGAAUUCCUGGUGUAGCGGUGAAAUGCGCAGAUAUCAGGAAGAACACCCGUGGCGAAGGCGGUUCUCUGGGGCGGUACUGACGCUGAGACGCGAAAGCGUGGGGAGCGAACAGG
rnacentral:rRNA from 1 species